CAAAAAGUAGCUUAUCAAAAGCAUUCGGCCUACACUCGAACGAUAUUACACCAUAAUCUUUUUGA
rnacentral:tRNA from 1 species